AAGACUUUAAGUUAAAUAAACUAAUAUCCUUCAAAGUUAUAAUUAAAGUAAAAUAUCUCUUUAAGUCUUA
rnacentral:tRNA from 1 species